ACGCAUGUACCGGUUCCCGCACGAUCACCAAAGUUAGGCAAUGUCGAGUCUGUUCAGUACCGAGAUGGGUGACCGCUUCGGAAUACCAGGUGAUGUAA